UAAUUGGAGAGUUUGAUCCUGGCUCAGAAUCAACGCUGGCGGCGUGCCUAACACAUGCAAGUCGAACGAGAAAGUGGGAGCAAUCCCGCGAGUACAGUGGCAGACGGGUGAGUAACACGUGAACAACCUGCCCUCGAGCGUGGAAUAACACCGCGAAAGCGGUGCUAAUACCGCAUAACAUCGCCGGGACGCAUGUCCUGGUGAUCAAGGGCGCAAGUCGCUUGGGGAGGGGUUCGCGCCUGAUUAGCUAGUUGGUGAGGUAACGGCCCACCAAGGCGACGAUCAGUAGCCGGCCUGAGAGGGCGUACGGCCACACUGGAACUGAGACACGGUCCAGACUCCUACGGGAGGCAGCAGUGGGGAAUUUUGCGCAAUGGGCGAAAGCCUGACGCAGCAACGCCGCGUGGAGGAUGAAGGCCUUCGGGUCGUAAACUCCUGUCAGGGGGGAAGAACACCUUAACCGGUUUGACUGUACCCCCUGAGGAAGCCACGGCUAACUCCGUGCCAGCAGCCGCGGUAAUACGGAGGUGGCAAGCGUUGUUCGGAAUUACUGGGCGUAAAGGGCGCGUAGGCGGCUUUGCAAGUCAGAUGUGAAAGCCCCGGGCUUAACUCGGGAAUUGCAUCUGAAACUGCUUUGCUUGAGUCCUGGAGGGGGUAGUGGAAUUCCCAGUGUAGCGGUGAAAUGCGUAGAUAUUGGGAGGAACACCUGUGGCGAAGGCGGCUACCUGGACAGUGACUGACGCUGAUGCGCGAAAGCUAGGGGAGCAAACGGGAUUAGAUACCCCGGUAGUCCUAGCCGUAAACGAUGGGCACUUGGUGUCGGGGGUAUUGAGUCCCCCGGUGCCGGAGUUAACACGUUAAGUGCCCCGCCUGGGGAGUACGGUCGCAAGACUGAAACUCAAAGGAAUUGACGGGGGCCCGCACAAGCGGUGGAGCAUGUGGUUCAAUUCGACGCAACGC
rnacentral:rRNA from 1 species